rnacentral:lncRNA from 1 species
AGGCUCUCAGACUUUGCACCGGAUGCACUUGCCUGACGGAGCCAUCUCCCUGGCCUCGGCAGGACACCUUCGAAUGGCUCCCAGGACAGUGCUCUGGGGCUGUUUUAAGAGGUGUCUGCACAGACGAGUGAUGGAGAACACUAGGAAACCUAAGAAAGGACUCUCUCACACUGUCAGGAUAGCCUCCAUUUAUUCCCCUUCUGCUUCGGUCUCCCACACCCUGGGACUGUACGAUGCGAUCAGCCUGUGCUCAGGUCUACGUUACUUCAUAGUAUGCUACUUGGUGUCUUUUUAAAAAGCUGCAUGCUGCCCUGAGAUACUGUUUUACAAGCCAUGUUUGACAACGUGUUAAGUGAAAAACAGAAGCAGGGAUCAGACAGCUGGAGAUCUCCAGACUGACUCCUGGGCUUUAGGCUCAUCUCGUUGCCCCACUGUUGAAAUGGUCAACUCAAGUUGCCUACUCAGUUGACUAUCUGGUACUGGUUCUGGACUUGUCUCUACAGCAUCCAGGGUUUUACACCUUGCCUGGGCAGCUGACCCGGACUCUGAAGCUCAACACAACUCCAAGCACAUGGCUUGACCCAACAACUGCAGACUGGUAAAGGUUUAUUAUGUAACACCAUAGAUUUCCUCUUAUUUUCAGACACUCCCUGUACUCUGCUAUGGCCUAUUGUACCCAUUCGGCAACACACAGACAAAUGCAUGAACACACACACACACACACACACACACACACACACACACACGGCCUAAGAAUUAAAUAUUAGUAGUUAUGAUCAGAAUAAAGAAUCUGUAUUUUCCAAAGGCCAACUAUUGAGGAAAAUAAGGACUACUAGUCAAAUUGUCAAAAGACACAAACAUGUCUUUUUCUGCUCAUGGUAGUGUGCCACUACAUUUAAUUCCUUAUAUAUUUUAUGUAUGCUCAUAAAAAUCUUUUAGAAGGGAAACUAUGCUGAACAAGACAUGAAUUUUUUAAACAAGGCCCUUUGGUUUGUUGAUUUAUCUACUGUACAUGAGUACACUGCAGCUGUCUUUAGAUACACCAGAAGAGGGCAUUGGAUAUCAUUUCAGAUGGUUGUGAGUCACCAUGUGGUUGCUGGGAAUUGAACUUAGGAACUCUGGAAGAGCAGUCAGUGCUCUUAACUGCUAAGCCAUCUCUUCAGCACCUAACUAAGGCCUUAGUUUCCAUUUUGUAAAAUAUUUGGGUCAAUGUUAACACUGCAAAAAAUUACCCGUGGUUGCUAACUCAGCAAGCAAUGGGUGUUACCAUCUUUAUACUACAAUAGGUAAAAUAACACAGCAUUUGAAUUUGGUUGUGUGUGAGGCUCAGCCUUUACUUGUUUUACUAGUCAUGUGCAUUUUUACAUGAGUAGAAUUUUUUAACCAUUGUUCAUUGAUUUGUCAAGAUUUCAAUGUUUUCAGUAUCCAUUUGUUUAAGUCUUUUGAUGUUAGAGUUAAAUUUUAAAUUGAUUUCAUUUUGUUUUGAAAUUAUUUUGAUGCAUAGAAACUUAAACCAUAUUAAGAUCAAAUAAUUAUGUACUUUCAUUGAAAAUAUUCCUUCUGAUGGAUAAAUGCAGAGGUGUCUAAGUCGAGGCCUGGGCUGUUAGCAGUUAAGGACAGCUGUGAGUGGGCCUAAAACAAAGUCACAAACUUAAAGUGUUAUCAGGUUUUUUUUUCUCAAUUUUCUUUUCUAACUUGAAUACACUAGGCAUGUUCUACCAAUAACCUACAUCCCUAGACCCAUUUUUAUUUUUAAUUCUGAGACAUUGUUUCACUAAAUGUUCAGUCUGCCUUUGAAUUCACUCCAUGGUUCAGGAAGGCCUUAAAUCCGCUUGCCUCGGUCUUCUGAGCACCUUGAGUUCUAUGCUUAGGCUGCCAGAUCUAGCUUUGCCUGGGGAGUUUUAUGUUGACUCUGGAUAUAUAGGUUGUACAUGCACACGCACACACACACAAGUCAAUCAUUUACUGAUGGUGAAUCACAAAAAAUGUUUAAAGCAAUUCUUUGGUAUACAUAUAUUUAUUAAAGACAAAUUUGCAUAC